rnacentral:rRNA from 1 species
UAGUCCACGCCCUAAACGAUGCUUACUCGAUAUCUGAUGAAUUUUGGGUGUCCAAGGGAAACCGUUAAGUAAGCCACCUGGGGAGUACGUUCGCAAGAAUGAAACUCAAAGGAAUUGACGGGGGCCCGCACAAGCGGUGGAGCAUGUGGUUUAAUUCGAUGAUACGCGAGGAACCUUACCAGGGCUUAAAUGUAAGUUGCAUAGAGUAGAGAUAUUCUUUUCUUCGGACUACUUACAAGGUGCUGCAUGGUUGUCGUCAGCUCGUGCCGUGAGAUGUUGGGUUAAGUCCCGCAACGAGCGCAACCCUCGUCCUGUGUUGCCAGCAUUUAGUUGGGGACUCACAGGAGACUGCCGUGGUUAACACGGAGGAAGGUGGGGAUGAGGUCAAGUCAUCAUGCCCCUUACGCCCAGGGCUGCAAACAUGCUACAAUGGCCAGUACAACGGGCUGCAACACUGCGAAGUGAAGCGAAUCCCUUAAAGCUGGUCUCAGUUCGGAUUGAAGUCUGCAA